UUUUUGUUAAAAUUUUAAAGUCUAACCUGCCCACUGAAAAUUUGAAGGGCCGCAGUAUUUUGACUGUGCAAAGGUAGCAUAAUCAUUUGUCUUUUAAUUGAAGGCUAGAAUGAAUGGUUGGACGAGGUAAAAGCUGUCUCAUUAUUAAAAUAAUAAAAAUUUAAAUUUUAAGUUAAAAAGCUUAAAUAAUUUUGGAGGACGAGAAGACCCUAUAGAUCUUAUAUAAUAUAAUGAUUUUAUAUCAUUGGAAUAUAAAUUUGAUUAAAUUUAUUUUAUUAUUGCAUUGGGGUGAUGAGAAAAUUUAAUAAACUUUUCUUUAUAAAAACAUUAAUUAAUGAAUUUAAAUGAUCCACGACUUGUGAAAUAAGACUAAGUUACCUUAGGGAUAACAGCGUUAUUUUGUUGGAGAGUUCUUAUCAAUAACAAAGUUUGCGACCUCGAUGUUGAAUUAAAAAUCUUUUAAGUGCAGAAGCUUUAAUAAGUAGGUCUGUUCGACCAUUAAAUUUUU
rnacentral:rRNA from 1 species